rnacentral:rRNA from 1 species
CUGGGCAUUGGACAUGGGGGCACCCUGAUCCAGCAUGCCGCGUGUGUGAAGAAGGCCUUCGGGUUGUAAAGCACUUUAGGCGGGGAAGAAGGUAUGGAGUUUAAUAGACACUAUAUUUGACGGUACCCGCAGAAUAAGCACCGGCUAACUCUGUGCCAGCAGCCGCGGUAAUA